AAGUCUUGACAUCCUUUGACCACCCUAGAGAUAGGGCUUUCCCUUCGGGGACAAAGUGACAGGUGGUGCAUGGUUGUCGUCAGCUCGUGUCGUGAGAUGUUGGGUUAAGUCCCGCAACGAGCGCAACCCCUAUUAUUAGUUGCCAGCAUUUAGUUGGGCACUCUAAUGAGACUGCCGGUGACAAACCGGAGGAAGGUGGGGAUGACGUCAAAUCAGCAUGCCCCUUAUGACUUGGGCUACACACGUGCUACAAUGGAUGGUACAACGAGUCGCAAACCCGCGAGGGCAAGCAAAUCUCUUAAAGCCAUUCUCAGUUCGGAUUGCAGGCUGCAACUCGCCUGCAUGAAGCCGGAAUCGCUAGUAAUCGUGGAUCAGCACGCCACGGUGAAUACGUUCCCGGGUC
rnacentral:rRNA from 1 species